rnacentral:rRNA from 1 species
GAGUUUGAUCAUGGCUCAGGACGAACGCUGGCGGCGUGCUUAACACAUGCAAGUCGAACGAUGAAGGGGAGCUUGCUCCUUGGAUUAGUGGCGAACGGGUGAGUAACACGUGAGUAACCUGCCCUGGACUCUGGGAUAACCCCGAGAAAUCGGAGCUAAUACCGGAUAGGACCUUGGAUCGCAUGAUCUGGGGUGGAAAGUUUUUCGGUCUGGGAUGGACUCGCGGCCUAUCAGCUUGUUGGUGAGGUAAUGGCUCACCAAGGCGUNGACGGGUAGCCGGCCUGAGAGGGUGACCGGCCACACUGGGACUGAGACACGGCCCAGACUCCUACGGGAGGCAGCAGUGGGGAAUAUUGCACAAUGGGCGCAAGCCUGAUGCAGCAACGCCGCGUGCGGGAUGACGGCCUUCGGGUUGUAAACCGCUUUUAGUAAGGAAGAAGGGGAGCUUGCUCCUUGACG